rnacentral:rRNA from 1 species
UACGUAGGAGACGAGCGUUGUCCGGAAUCACUGGGCGUAAAGCGCGUGUAGGCGGAUGAGCAAGUCUGCUGUGAAAGCUCCUGGCUUAACCGGGAGAGGUCGGUGGAAACUGCUCGUCUGGAGGAUGGUAGAGGCUGGUGGAAUUCCCGGUGUAGUGGUGAAAUGCGUAGAGAUCGGGAGGAACACCUGUGGCGAAGGCGGCCAGCUGGGCCGGACCUGACGCUGAGACGCGAAGGCGUGGGGAGCGAACGGG